AUCUUUAUAGUUUAAUUUAAAAUAUAACAUUGAAAAUGUUAGGAUGGUCGAAGACCUAUAGAUA
rnacentral:tRNA from 1 species